rnacentral:rRNA from 1 species
GACGAACGCUGGCGGCGCGCUUAACACAUGCAAGUCGUGCGAUACCUCGAGCGAGUCUUACGACAAGCUCAAGGUAGAGCGGCGGACGGGUGAGUAACACGUGAGUAGCUGUCCUAAGGAGGGGGAUAACGCCUGGAAACGGGUGCUAAAACCCCAUAUGCCUCGCAAGAGGUGAAAGUGUAUUACUGCAGCCUUAGGGUGUGCUCGCGGCCUAUCAGCUAGUUGGUGAGGUAAUGGCUCACCAAGGCUAAGACGGGUAGCCGGCCUGAGAGGGUGUACGGCCACACUGGAAUUGAGAUACGGUCCAGACUCCUACGGGAGGCAGCAGUGGGGAAUCUUGGGCAAUGGGCGAAAGCCUGACCCAGCGACGCCGCGUUGGGGAUGAAGCCCUUCGGGGUGUAAACCCAUGUUGUAGGGGACGAAGAAAGUGACGGUACCCUACGAGGAAGCCCCGGCUAACUACGUGCCAGCAGCCGCGGUAAGACGUAGGGGGCGAGCGUUGUCCGGAAUUACUGGGCGUAAAGGGCACGCAGGCGGUGCGCCAAGUCGAGGGUGUAAAGUUACGGCUCAACCGUGACAUUGCAAUCGAUACUGGCGCGCUGGAGUGCGGGAGAGGGAAGUGGAAUUCCCGGUGUAGCGGUGAAAUGCGUAGAUAUCGGGAGGAACGCCAGUGGCGAAGGCGGCUUCCUGGCCCGCGACUGACGCUCAUGUGCGAAAGCCAGGGGAGCGAACC